rnacentral:tRNA from 1 species
GCGGAUGUAGCCAAGUGGAUCAAGGCAUUGGAUUGUGAAUUCACCAUGCGCGAGUUCAAUUCCCGUCCUUCGCC